GAGACGGGCCUGCAGGCCCGCGAGGCCUUGGCCGUGGAAGACCCCGCAGCCCGGUUCUCCGCGGGGUCACGACCCUGGCGUGACUGUGGGAGUCCUCGGGCCAGUCCCUGUGCACGAGCCACGUCGUCUCCUCCCCGAAAGGGGCUUCCCCGGGCGCCUGGGCUGGAACGGAGCGCUGAGAGGGCCGCUGAAGCAUCCGGUGCCGCUCUCCUUCCCUCCCGGACCAGAGGGGCAGAGAGCUCCGGCGCUGCGAGGAAGCUCCGGGCCAAAGCUUUAGUCAUUUAGAAGAGCCCCAGGUUCCAUGUGGGCAUCAGACAGCAGGGACACAGGAUGGAGUAACACGUGACCCUGCUCUGGAGGAGAUCAGGGGACAGGAGGACCCUGAGAAGUGGAGGACCCACCUUUAGGAGUCAAUGGCAGGCUGAAAAGUGAGGGGACUCAGUUCAAAGGUGGCAUCUGUUGACCUGAGACGUCUGCCCAGAGGUGGGCGUGGCAGUGGGCAGCGGUGGCAGGUGAGGUCUUGACAUAGCCCUGUGGUCACUCCCAGGCCCUCUUUCCCCUGCCUCUCUUCCCAGGAGGGCUCCUUCCAGGGUAUGCUGAACUCAUUCCCCUACCCAAACCUUUU
ensembl:lncRNA